rnacentral:lncRNA from 1 species
CUGGGAUAUGAGAAGCCGAGGAAAGCGUGUUCCCAAAGCUAUUUGUGACCACCCCUUCCUCUUCUCCCUAACAAGGAAACCCUGCCUGUGACGAGCUGUACAAGGCCUGGCUCAGCGGCUGGCGGGACAGCAACUGGAGACUUAGGAAGAAAAACAACUUCUAAACGUGGUGUUCGUGCAAGAAAGUAUCAGAAAGUGGAAAAUCUCUGAUCCACGCCAUCUGUUUGUCUCAUCCAGUGGUGCAUUCCAAUCUCUGCAACAGAAGAUUCAUGACAACCUGCCAAUAAAAUUCCUGAGAUUGUCAAAACGCAGAAUACUUCUGAAAAAGUUUAAGAUAAGAUUCUUUCAUGUUUAAAUUCCUCAUACACACCCUUUCUCUCAGAGCACAGCUGGCUUCAGUACCAGAUUUCAGGGUCCUGGCUCUGUCUUAGAGGAGUAGAAUCAUAUUCAGCAGAUCCUGCAUAUUCCUGGAAGGGGCUUUCUGACCACAUGAUCUUCAGGGUGACACAUGGACAAGAAACAGAUCUUCUUCUUCUUUCUACCCAGCAGCAAGGAGAACUCACCUUGCAGCCAAGAGGUAAAGCAGAGUCCAGACCAGCAAGUUGGCCCACACUGCCAGGAGAUUGGUUAGAUAUAAGGAGAUUGAACAAAAUCCACUAUCCUCCGUGGAGACAGACACCGUCAAGGACAAGCACCUGGAUCAUCUCCUCCCUGCAAAGAGAUACAGGCUGGUGGGAAAGCUGCUGACCAAAAAGGUCACAGGAUCCCUCCUCUCUGCAAGUGUCUCGAGGCCAAAGACAGGCUGGUGGGAAAACUCUGACCAGCAAGGCCAUAUGUUCCCCCUCCCCUACCUAAAACCCCAAAUAAAAACCCUUCCUUUUAGCUUUUCGGGGAGUUUGGGAUUUCAGCGUUAGCUGCCCUCUCUCCUUGCUCAGCGCUGUCCAAAAAUAAAAUUCC